CGUAAGCGCGCGUAGGCGGUUUCUUAAGUCUGAUGUGAAAGCCCACGGCUCAACCGUGGAGGGUCAUUGGAAACUGGGAAACUUGAGUGCAGAAGAGGAGAGUGGAAUUCCAUGUGUAGCGGUGAAAUGCGCAGAGAUAUGGAGGAACACCAGUGGCGAAGGCGGCUCUCUGGUCUGUAACUGACGCUGAUGUGCGAAAGCGUGGGGAUCAAACAGGAUUAGAUA
rnacentral:rRNA from 1 species